GUUUAUAGUAGCUUUGGGUGGCACAUGCUGUGUUAGUUUCUCUGUGUGACAGUCAGUAUUCAGGAUUGAUAAACUAUUGUAACAGCCAAAUCACCGCGUAUUUUGUUUUUGGAACAAGAAUAAUAUUUUACAGAAAUCAACUUGCCAGACAUGAGAAGUAAUUAAGGUCUUAAGAACAGAGGACUUGCUUUGGGUCGGGUGAUGCCUGGUAUCUGUGUGGUCCAACUGACUUUCCUGACUCGUUUAAUCCUUUGAUGUUUUUGAUGGACCGUGUCUUGGUAAUGUCUGUAAUGUUUGAAAUACUGCACGCUGUUCUCUUCAGGACUUCUUUGAAACAAGAUCUUCAUCUCAAUGGAUUUUUCAUGAUAAAAUAUUUUAUAUAAAAGUAAAUACAACUUUACAUUUAAUUUAAGGAUAAAAAAACAGGGGGUGGAUAUAUCAUUAAUGCUGCAUCCUGCAAGAUGACUAAUAAAUAAAUGCCAACACCUUUGGCUUCAGCACCGCACUUCAGAAAAGUACCUUUUCUAGAUGUAAAGCCAAUUAUUAAUAUUACUAGCUACUAUUAGCACUCACUUUCAACACUGCAAUUACUUAGCGCAGAGAGAGCUGUGAUAUGAUCAGUUUCAAAGACGCUUACAGAGGGGAUCUGGUGUCCCGUUGAGCAAUAUCGACAGGCUGGUAUCCCUUCUCUCUGCCAAAAAGUGCUGCAAUGUUAAGUAUGAAGUCAGAAAACUGCCAACUGCUCUGCGCCCCCGUACACACCACACAGAGAUACUGGCAGAUGGAGAACCACGGCUUACCUGCUGUCAAAAAUAUGCUUUCAGGCUCCACAAAACCAAUACGAAAACACUUGGUUUUGUUAAAUGGAAUAUCCACUGCCAAAUUAUUACUCUAUAGCAACAGAGCACAGCAAAUCCCCAUAUUAAUUACAACUGGGGAAAAACUGCACUAAAGGGCAAUUGGCUGUUCCUUAGAAUAUUGUUUGACACAAUAUCUCGGAACCAUUAUCUCUGCUCACGAGCAAUAUAAUUCAAGCUGCUAAUCUGCCAAGUCAUAAAAUGUCAGAGGUUUAAUGUUUCAUUUAACCCUUUCAGCACCAGCCGUUACUGCGGCUGGAGGCAUAUACUGUAUUGUUGGCAUACCAGGCUCUCAUAGGCUUGCAAAGGAAACUCUUCUUUGUUAUGGAAAGGGGUGGAUUUAUACAUUCAGUACAUUGUAACUAUGCAUAAUAACAUUGUAAUCAUAUGUAAGUACACCUGUAUUUACUAAGUAACUACUAUGUAUAUGCACAAUAAAUUAAAGACCCUAUGUAAAGCGUUACCAUAUAAUCUUAAUUGUUGUAACUCAUAAAAGGACAUAUAAAUGGAUAGCCCACAUUGAUUUGACAGAGAAAAACUAAAACUCCAAACUGGCAGAUUGACGAGUGCAAACAUUGCCAGAGACCCAGUGUGGUCAUUUGUGAGAACGCAUUCACUUUUACAAACUUUUCUGGCAAUUUCAAACCACACCGCACUAUACCUUAACCGUUAUAUAAUCUAGAUGUCUUGCAAUAUCUCUAUUAUCCUUCUUAUCACCAUUCCAAACCACUUGCCCACAUUUUCAUUUUUACAAAGCGCAGAUAAAAUUAUCCUCCUGAAACCUGCAGCAGAGGUUAUGCAGGGAACAGACACCAAAAAGAUUCCCUGAAUACAACACCGAAAUGAGACAGAGACUGGCAGGUGAACCCUCAACAGCACUAAGGCAGCGCUUCAGCGGGAGGAUGCAUUCCACAGAAGCCCAAUUAAAGCAAGCCAUCUGUGUUCACAUUAGCCACGUAUACAGGCCCAAACCCGGUGUACAGAGCAACUUACAUUUGCACAGAAAAAUCUUAAGCCCUGUAGAAUGCAACUGCAUUAAGCUUCUUAUCGACUGGAGAGUAGCCAGUCUGGAUGGCAGAGUGUGGUCAUGCCAGGUGACUCCACUGCCAUGCCUGGCUAGGACUGUUCCUGGCCAGAAUGAACCCUGCCAACUAUUAGCACAAAAGUCAGACAUGACACAAAGAACAUGCUAUGACUAUUGUUAUAUCCAGGAUCAGAGAGGCAGCUCCAGUCCCGGAGGGGUAUUCCAUUCCAGGUUUAAUAGGUAUCCUUCUUAGGCUGAAUUGAUUCAAUUUGACAGUAAAAAGGACAUGGCUGGAACAACACUGCCCACCCCCUGUUCAAGAUCAUCUUUUAAAACAAUGAUGCACCUUGUUAAAAUACGAAAGCAUGCCCAGAUGCUAGGGAAUACUUCCAGUAAGCUUAGACUAAAGAAUAAAGGCUCAAUAAAUAACCGCAGAGUGUUUUUCAACCACAUCAGAUACGAGUGCAAGGCUUACAUGAAUCAAGAUCGGCAAUGCGGAAGGGAGGUGGUUACGUUUUUCAGCAAGACCAUUAGGCAUAAUUAAAGCACAUUAGCUUUAGGUCAUUUAUGGUUUUUGGUAGUUGGUCUGUGCUGGAUUUGCUGGCUGCAGUGCACUUACUUCUAAGUGAAUGUAACAGAUGCAUUAGUGCUCUGGAGAAUGGGUUUGAUACACAUGUGGAGAAGUGCCAGAGUGACAGAAAAAGCACAGGUUCAUUUUAAACAAACAUUCCAAUAAAGAGACCACAGACACUGCCUGGCCACUUUAUUAGGGUCUGUCUGCUCGAUUGGAUUUGGCCUCAUCCCGGUGUGAGGCAUCCUGGUAUAGUCUUGGUCCCUUGAUUCCUCUGGAAAGCUGAACAAAUGCUCAUUGCUGUUGUUUAUUUAAGCACCGUUGUUGAUCAAGCCCAUCCACUUUAACUCCGACACUGAAGGCUACUGUCAAGAUGACGAUGACGCACCCAUCUGCCACACCCGAAUUGUGUAUGAAUGGUUUGAGGAGCACGGCACAGACUCAAGGGACCUUCCAUGUUACCCUACCUCUCUGCAGCAAUUACGUGACGUAUUAACUGAACUGAUAACCAUCCCUCGACACAACAGCCCACCUGCGAAGUCUGUGCCAUGCUGUGAUCAGAGCAAACGAUGUCCCAGCAAUGAUGCGCUCCACCAGGCUUGGUAAGGCUUUAGGAUAAUAACAAAUCUUGCAUUUAGUUCUGAUUUUAAGAUAAUUAUACUGUACCUUAUUCAGGCUGUCAGACAGUUGGAAGUAUUUCAAUAGUAGAUUUUGAAAACAGAUGUUCACAAACCAGUAGGAAACAGUGUAAAAAAAAAAAAAAAAAAAAAGCUCCUAAAAAUAAAGAUCUAAAAAUAAAGAGCUCUAAAAGUAGCUAGUGGUUCAAAGGCUUUCCUUCUCAAUUACGUCUCAAUUAAAAUCUGUAAACUCAAUGGUUUAACUGGGUUAGCUCAACAUGCAGUUUAAUGCAUCUCUGCAGGAUGCAGCAACUGAAAACGCGGCUUAUUCUUCAUGGGGACUUCCAUCCACCUGAUUUACAGUGAAGACUUGUUUUUGGGAUGUACAAGGGUUAGGGCUGGAGAAUUUAGCGAUUGUUAUUCAACUGUAGGACACAGGGAUUACAUGCUCAGCCUUAUAAAAUGAUUAUCUUGCCAGCUAGAUAACACUAACCUUACCAAGUAGAGAGGGCGGGGCUAAACGUUUCAAUGCUUGUGCUAAAACAUUGUCGCCACAAGAUAUACAGUAUUGGGUGAAACACGUGUGUCCUGUCCCAUGUGGAAACAGGGUAGCAUAACUCUGGUCACGCACAAAUGAACAUCAUUAAAUACAAUCUAUUACUAAAUGACUGCCAUGAACACUGAAGUGUAUAAGUUGACCACAAAAUGCAUUUUGUGUUUUGUUUUUUUCUCCCCAUUGCCAAAGCAGCUGUCCGUAAACCAGAUGAUAAUAAAAUCAGAUUGGUUGAAUAAACACGACACACACACUGCACUAUAACAAGAUGCCUCACCAUUUAUAAAAAUGAAUGAAGCAUUUUCCACGUGGCCCAAUCGACGGUUAAGGCAAU